UGGUUCUGGCAUCGAUGAAGAACGCAGCGAAAUGCGAUAAGUAAUGUGAAUUGCAGAAUUCAGUGAAUCAUCGAAUCUUUGAACGCACAUUGCGCCCGCCAGCAUUCUGGCGGGCAUGCCUGUUCGAGCGUCAUUUCAACCCCUCGGGCCCCCGGGCCCGGCGUCGGGGCUCUCCCCCCUGCGGGAGGCCCCCAGAGACAGUGGCGGACCCUACGCGGCCCCGAGCGCAGUAGUAAAACCCUCGCUCCGGGCGCCCGCGGCGGGCCACCGGCCGUAAAACCCGGCUCCGGCCGACACACCAAGGUUGACCUCGGAUCAGGUAGGAAUACCCGCUGA
rnacentral:misc_RNA from 1 species